AUUGAACGCUGGCGGCAGGCUUAACACAUGCAAGUCGAGCGGGGGAAGGUAGCUUGCUACUGGACCUAGCGGCGGACGGGUGAGUAAUGCUUAGGAAUCUGCCUAUUAGUGGGGGACAACAUCUCGAAAGGGAUGCUAAUACCGCAUACGUCCUACGGGAGAAAGCAGGGGAUCUUCGGACCUUGCGCUAAUAGAUGAGCCUAAGUCGGAUUAGCUAGUUAGUGGGGUAAAGGCCUACCAAGGCGACGAUCUGUAGCGGGUCUGAGAGGAUGAUCCGCCACACUGGGAAUGGGACACGGCCCAGACUCCUACGGGAGGCAGCAGUGGGGAAUAUUGGACAAUGGGGGGAACCCUGAUCCAGCCAUGCCGCGUGCGUGAAGAAGGCCUUAUGGUUGUAAAGCACUUUAAGCGAGGAGGAGGCUACUUUAGUUAAUACCUAGAGAUAGUGGACGUUACUCGCAGAAUAAGCACCGGCUAACUCUGUGCCAGCCGCCGCAGUAA
rnacentral:rRNA from 1 species